rnacentral:rRNA from 1 species
GACGAACGCUGGCGGCGUGCUUAACGCAUGCAAGUCGAACGGAAAGGCCCUGCUUUUGUGGGGUGCUCGAGUGGCGAACGGGUGAGUAACACGUGAGUAACCUGCCCUUGACUUUGGGAUAACUUCAGGAAACUGGGGCUAAUACCGGAUAGGAGCUCCUGCUGCAUGGUGGGGGUUGGAAAGUUUCGGCGGUUGGGGAUGGACUCGCAGCUUAUCAGCUUGUUGGUGGGGUAGUGGCUUACCAAGGCUUUGACGGGUAGCCGGCCUGAGAGGGUGACCGGCCACAUUGGGACUGAGAUACGGCCCAGACUCCUACGGGAGGCAGCAGUGGGGAAUAUUGCACAAUGGGCGGAAGCCUGAUGCAGCAACGCCGCGUGCGGGAUGACGGCCUUCGGGUUGUAAACCGCUUUCGCCUGUGACGAAGCGUGAGUGACGGUAAUGGGUAAAGAAGCACCGGCUAACUACGUG